rnacentral:rRNA from 1 species
UACGGGGGGGGCAAGCGUUGUUCGGAAUUACUGGGCGUAAAGGGCUCGUAGGCGGCCAACUAAGUCAGACGUGAAAUCCCUCGGCUUAACCGGGGAACUGCGUCUGAUACUGGAUGGCUUGAGUUUGGGAGAGGGAUGCGGAAUUCCAGGUGUAGCGGUGAAAUGCGUAGAUAUCUGGAGGAACAUCGGUGGCGAAGGCGGCAUCCUGGACCGGUAUUGACGCUGAGGCGCGAAAGCCAGGGGAGCAAACGGG